rnacentral:lncRNA from 1 species
AAGCCAGGCAGAGACAGCAGCGGGCUGUCAGCAGAGGAGCUGGGCUGAGGCGCCCAGGGGAGCAGCGGCGCCCACGAAGGAAGUACGAGGACAGCACGUGGAGGCUCCGCGCUGGGGCACUGCUGCUCAGCCCCCAACACCUGAGCUCCCAGAGCCCGGCAGGAGCCCCAACAGGAAGCCGGCGCGGCAUGGCUGCCACCGACUUCGUGCAGGAGAUGCGCGCCGUGGGCGAGAGGCUGCUGCUCAAGCUGCAGAGACUGCCCCAGGCUGAGCCCGUGGAGAUCGUGGCCUUCUCAGUCAUCAUCCUUUUCACAGCCAGCCACUGUUCUGCUGUUGCUGCUGAUAGCCUGCAGCUGCUGCUGCACUCACAGCUGCUGCCCUGAGCGGAGAGGCAGGAAGGUCCAGGUGCAGCCGACACCACCAUGACGGACGGGCGAUGGCUGAGGAGAAGCUGGAGAGGAGAUGGCCAAUGCCAUGACACAGGCCAUCAGCCUGGUCCUGCAGCCCUUACCCCUCAAGACCAGGCUCCCCUGGCCCCAGCUCUGGCCCAGCCCAGGUACCUGGACACUGACAACUUGAGCCCUACCAAGGAAACAAGGACUGGUAUAGGUGCAAACCUCUCAUCUGCCAGUGGACACUGGGUGCUGGGGAGUCAGCUGUUUCAAAGAUUGGGUCAACUGCCUGGGCUUCUUCGCCUACCUGCACUUUUUAACAAAACAAGGAAGUAGGGGUCCCCAUACCUUGAUGGAGAACAGUCCCCACCUGUGGGCAAUUGGCCCUUGGGGCUCUGCUGAUACAUGCCAAAGAGGAGCAAGGCAAUCAGAGGGGCUUUGUGCAAUAGCUUCUGCAUCCGAGCUCCCGCCAGAGCGUG